rnacentral:misc_RNA from 1 species
UAUUCUCAACCUCGAUAACUUUUUGUUAACGAGGCUUGGACUUGGAGGUCGUGCUGGCUCUCGUUAGUCAGCUCCUCUCAAAUGCAUUAGCGUGAACGUUACGGAUCGCUAUCAGUGUGAUAAUUAUCUGCGCUGUUAGUGUUGAAGUAUGUUAAGCUUGCGCUUCUAACCGUCCUUCAGUUGGACACUUACUUGACA